ACAGCCAGCCACCCAGGAAGGAAGCAUUUUGUUCCUUUUAGACAGAGGGUCUGGCCAGCCAUAUGGCCACGUUGUUGAAAGGCUCUGUGAACAGAAAUUGUAGGAAAUUGCAAAGCAACCUCUGAUAAUGAACAUCUUGCCAGGAAAAUGUAUCUGAUCUCUGAGGAAAGGUGUUGGAAGAGAUAGGAGACGGCAGGAGGAUUGUCUCAAACACAAGUCUGAGUUCUUUUGACAACAAUGUCUCCCUGUUUCUGAAAUAUAGAGAAUUCUGCUCAAGAAGUGAGGAAGUUUUGGAGACAUAAUCAGAAAGAGAGAAAUGCAGACAAAGAAGUUGUUGAAACUAGCUCACUUCUCUUCAUGCUAUUUUCAGAAUUUUUCUUUACAUCUUGCACUAAAAACAACCCUGCGCAAAAGACAAACCUUUUCCAGAUGUUUUGGUGAAUUCACUUUUAUUCUCCAUGGGCAAUAAUAACCAGUUUUUGUUUAAGGCCUUAUGAUUUAAAAAGCAUGCACUUUUAAUAUUUACAAUAAUAACAUUUUUAAUGUUUACAAGAAUCCCUUAAAAUUGCUGUUAUUUUUAUUUACUAUUAUCAUACUGACUUUUUCAAAUAAGACAAUUGAAAUUCAGUCUCUUUUUAAUCAUCCAAGUAAUAAGCAGUGGAAGAGGCACUUUAAAAUACAAAUUAUUAAACUCUGAAUUCUCUGCCUUUCUUCCUCCUUUUGCAUGACAAUAGGGUAAAAUGAGACUAGCAUGUUUUAAUAAAUAAAUUUUUAUUUGCUUUUUUGAGUAAGAGCUUGGAGAAAUCUAAUAUGUCAUUUUGUGUACUCUUAAAAAUCCUUUGCUUGAAGAAUCUAAUGACUUUUACGUCUAUGGAUUUAUAUAUUAUUUGCACCAUUUUGAAAUAUUUAGGAAAGGAGAGAAUAUAAUUAUUUGCCAUGAAAAUAAACUAACAGUAUCAGGACAGGAGUCGAUGCCAACCAAAGCAUCCUAUUGCCCCAUACGCUGUUGCUGGCAUUGAUGAAAUUUGAGGAUUGGAAGAAGCGGAAUCAGCCAGCCUCAUGUAGAUUUCAACUGGAAUCUGGGCUGUUCCUCCAGGGUGCACCAGGAGCCUUCCUCCUCCCCUCACUUUCUUCCAUUCCCCACUCAGCAGUUUCAGAGGUUGACAAGAAUUCAGCUCAGUCAGGCAAAUGUUGGUUUAUAACACGAACACUGACCAUUUCUAUCUUACAAUGAGAGAGGGGAAGCAAAGAGAGAUUGCGAGACAUCUACAGUAAAUCAAAAGAGGAUGUCGGGAUCUUUCCAUGAUGCCAAGUGCUUGCUACUGAUGGGUUUUUCUCCUGAAGUAACUUUUAGCUACAUUUACAGAUUUUCAGAGGAAAGAACCCCUGUAGCCAUGUUUUCCCCCAAAGAUCAGGCUCCCUUUCCACCUCAGAAUGGCUUCUCACAAAUACAGUAGUUUUUCAACAACAGAUGGGUCUAAGUUGAAAGAGACCUUGUCAUUGAUCCAGUGGCAUGAGGACUUCUUCAAAUGUACAUGUGGAUCUGAUGGUCACGGAGGGACCACACGACAUUGAUGCAGUUCCUCUUAAAGGGCCAGCUCUUCAUCAGCCCUGAUGUUCAGGCACCCAUGUUUAAGAUGCAGCCCUCCAGCAAGACCAGCAUGAGUGCCACAGAGCUUUGUGGAGACUCGCCAACAUAAUAGGCCAGUAUUUGGGAGAGGGUAGCAAUUAUGUGAUUUCAAUUUCAUACCAUCUGUCCCCAGAUUUCCUUCACUACCAGGCUGGCCACUGGCUUUGGAGGACAGUCAAAAUCCAGGGCUCUGGAAUACUCUUUAUGGAGUUCAAAGGAGCAGGCGUCCCUGUGAACUCCAACGCUGGUUGUUGCCAUGGGGAAGUGUACCGAGAUUGUUGGCUUCCAGCAAGAUAUGUACUUGAAAGUCCUAAUGAAAGCAUGUUAAGCCCUCGGAAGCUGGCUAUGUGUCUGAGAGCCUGGCCAAGAGAUGUCAGAUCGCUCCACGGGCAAGAGAGAACAUAAGCAACUGAGAAAAAGGGAGGAAGAGACAUGCUGACGUUCUUCUCAACAGGAACAUUCUUUCUUCUUGGGAGUCCAUCAGCCUCAUCAUUUAUUAUCAGACUGUAACCACCCUUCAUCCUCUUUCUCCAACAGGAUCUCAUCAUUCCAAUAAGAACCUAAAUCAUAAAGUAAAAACAAGAAAAAUACGACUUUUUGUUUUUGGCUAGAAGGCAAUCUGAUUGAUACAGUAAAGGUCUGGAAGCCCUAAAAUGUUGGGUCAAUUCCUAACUCCGACACAAAGAAGCUAAACAACUUGCAAGAUAAUACGUAAAAAAAUCAACCACAAUGUUUCUAUCUGCAAAACAGAGUAGGGGUGCCACUGGGAAGCAUUUUAAAAACCUUGUGUUCCUCAUGCUAAUUAUUCACCAGUUGGCGUUCCAGGUCAUGCCUCUUGACAUCAGUAGCUUGAUUGCCAAUGGGAUGAUGAUACUGGUUUCACUUUUAAAUAUGGGUUUCAAAAGUAUCAGUUUUCACUGUCGUCAGAGAAACAGAAUAUUGGAUGUGGGAAAAAAGCCUCAGGCAGAAAUCUAGAUGUCAGUCUCCCUCAUUUCACAAUGAGGAAGCUGAGGCCCAGAGUGGUGAGUGACCUGCCCAAGGCCACAGUCAGAGUUAGAGCUGUGCCAGGCCCAGGACACAGGGCUUUCCUUUUGAUCAACAUCACAUUUCCUAAACCAGCUUGCUUCUUAUAUGCCUGCUUUCCAUGAUGAUUUCUGGGGAAAGGAUUUCUCAUUACAUGGAUUUUUCAUGGCUCUAGAUGGGUGAUUUGGGGCAACGUAGAAGGGCGCCUUUUGAUCUAGCUGCUUCCGCAUCAAGUACAACACUCCUUCCUCGAUGGAAGAAUGGUCGGCCUCUCCUAUCAGUCGCUGAAGUCUUAGAAGACAUGAAAAUAAACAAAACCUGACAACUCUGUUCCCUGUGUUAUGACCUGUUCACCUCCCCUGCCACUUCCAACUUGACUUCUCCCUGAGUAGCCCCCACGUUAUUUAAGUCAGCAGGGCUUUCAGAAGUCAGGCAGUGCUGAGGCUGCCAGAAGGAAUACUUGCGUGGCAGGCGCAUGUGGGUCUGAGCUCUUUAGACUCUGGGUCAUGACUGGCAUAGAAGGGGUUCCUGCUGCUCUUCAAAUCGCUUUUGGUCCUGAAACUUCCUUCCAAUGGUUCCCUCCCUUAUGUUUAACCACUUCAUGCUCUGGAAUCACCAAAGGUCUCACUCUGACAAAUAAUAUUUUUUGAAGCACUCAGGAGUCUACUUUAUUCUGGAAUGUUCCAAUAGGCAGCUUUAACAAAAAUAUGGGUAACUUCUUGAAAAAAGAGUAACCUCAACUUAAAGUUGACUGCAAAUGACGAUAGCAAUCUGACCUUUGAUUCAUUAAAAAAUACCCAUAUGUUCACAGAAGGUUGUUUCAUAACAGCUGCAAAGUGGAAGUGACCCAAAUGAAUGUCUAUCGGUGGAUGCCUGGGUGAGCAAAAUAUGGUAUAUCUACACAAUGGAAUAUUACUUGCAAUGAAAAAAAGUAUUGCUACAUGAUACGUGAACACAUCUCAAAGUUAUGCAAAGUGAAAAAGAUCAGAUCACAUAUUGUAUGAUUCCAUGUAUAUAAAAUGUCCAGAAAAAGCAAAUCUAUAAGAGACAGAAAAAUUAGUGACUGCCAUGGGCCAGAGGUGGGAAGAGGGAGUGACUGCAAAUGGGCACGAGGUUUAUUUCGGGGGUGAUGGAAUUGCUCUAAAAUUAGAUUGCAGUGAUGGUUGCACAGCUCCGAGUAUUUAUGAAAAAAAUCAUGGAGUUUUGACUUCAAAAAAGUGAGUUUUAUGGUAUGUAAAUAGUACCUCCAUAAAGCUGUGCAAAUGAAUAACCAUGCAGCAGAUGCGCCAGCUCUAGCAGGAAGGAGAUCUUUGGAGUAGAGGGAUGUCUGCUGUGGUUGGGCCAACAGACGAACUCAGCCAUACAGUUUCCCUCACCCUGACUGCUCCUCAUGAAGGGCGACCUUCAAGUCCAGGCAGAAGCCCUUGACAUGAUGCAACGAUUUAUUAAAUAGACAGGCUGCCCUUACGAGGUGAAGCCUGACAAAGCCUCAGUUCAGGGACAUCUGCAUUCAGAGUGAAAAACCGAUGGCAGCCACAAUGAUUUAGAUCUGCAAUUAAGACAUUUAAAGUGUUUAGGGCUGACAAGGAGUUAAAGUAAAUGUUGAUUCAGUUAUGAAGUCUUCAAAGAUUUAGGCUUGCAAAAGGGCCUUGCACAACUGUAGGAUUUUAUUUAUUUAUGCAUUGUUAUUGACUUUAAAAUAUUCUUUUUUCUCCCCCCACAGAACUUUUCCAACCAACAGUGGGCCCUUAGCAGGGGAGACUGGAAACAGAUCCUUUAUGCACUGAAAGAAGAAAGUAGAACCAUUUCUGGGUCCCAGAUGUGGGAAGAGCUCCUGUUGCUGUGGAUUCUGACUUCUGGGUCUUGGAGCAGGAGGUGGCCAGCAAGCUAAGCUGUCCUGAGGGUGUGCCAGGCCAGGGGCUGAAGACAACGUUGGAGCAUCCACAGACUGGUUUGUCUCAAGAAGCAUGUUACUAAAUAUGAAAUGGCAAAAUCUGCAAGUGAGUUUACUUUUCCCCCAUAGAUUAGAAUGGAUUCAAUAUUAUCUCUUUAUUAGAUUCACUUUUAAUCACUUGCAUAGCAAGUAAGACAGAAGGGUGGUUUGAAAGUCAAUCAUGUGAGAAUUCCAGAUAAAUUGACUUUGCUCACAACAAUCUAUUAUUCAUGUGACUAUCAACUGUCAUGUGUGCUGGGACAAAAAAGAAGAUUAAGGUUCACUGGUCUCAGACAGUUCCAGGAGAGGAAACCCAGGAUUGAACUUUUUCAGCCUUCUUUGGUAAAACAUGCUGCUCUGUGGGUGUGUCAAAGCUUUUUUCAGUUUCCUAAACUCCUGUAUUCAAGAAGAGAAGCUAUUUUCUCUUCUUUAUCAUCCUUCCUUGACAAAGCAAAACGUAUUUUCAUUGUCUGCUCUGUAUCAUCCAGGCUUGGUUCCUGUCCUCAAAGAGCUUAUAGUUCAAACAAAGGAGAGGGAGCAUUUUACAAGGGAAUUAAAGAUGAAAGACUCUGAAAGCCAGUUUAAAAAGUCGAGAGGGAGGGGUCUGGGAGAAGCUGAGCAGGGAUGAAAGGGUACAAAACAUUAUAGAAGGAGAACAGGGGAACACCUUGACUACUGGGUAGAAAUACCAAUCAGUGUGUAGAAACCAUCACAGUGGUAACACGGAUCAGUAGGUGGAAACCAAUGACAGCAGGUGUGUGAGGCAUGGAACACUUGGCUUAUUGUAAAGUUUUCAAAAUAUGUGGUCCUUUCUAUCCACCAGGGGAUGGGAGUUGUCUUUGUAUAUCAACCACAGAAGGGCUGUUUCGGUUCAUCAUUCUGUGGUCUACCUGGGUAGACCUGAUGCAGCCGUGUUUCCGGGGAAAGGAAGAACAGCUUUUGUUUUGUGAUAUUUAAUGGUAGAUGUUGUGCCAUGGAAUGAUGCAGAUUUCGUUCAGAUAUUCUUGGAUCUUGGCCUCAGGACUCACUCAUUCUUCCUUAUAUGAGCAUUGGUAGUUAUAGGUUUUACCCUUCCUUUAAUUUUAAGUCCUUUGAAGGCAAAAACUGUAUCCAAUUUGUCACUGUCUCCCAACAGUACUUAACAGUGUCUGAUGCAUCAUAGGGAGUUUAUAAACGUUUGGAUGAAUAAAGGGAAAACAAAAACAACAAAAAUAACCUUUAUUUUGCUUUAAUAAAAAUAUUUUAACUAGUU